ensembl:lncRNA
CAUACGGAAGGUGAACCAAGCAGCUCCUUCCCCCUCUUCAGUUAUCUUUACUGCCUCAGCUGAGCUAAAAGUUGUACUCUUGUAGCCAUGUUCUUCACUACUAUCAGACUUAUUUCAUGCACUUCUCUCUUUUUUUCCUCUGGUGUCCUGAUCAAGGUUGCAAUGAAGAAAACAGACCUAUUACUUUAAGUAGACUUUUUUUUUUUUUUUUUUUGUAUCAGUCUCCUUUCUGGCUUUUGCUUUUUGUCCAUUCAGUAAAUGCAGGCAUCCUUUGCUACAAAAUAACUCUUUCUGUUCCUUCAUUGUCAUGAUGGGAGCCUACUGGACAAGGAUACAUCGAAAGAUAUAUCAUUUCCCAGAACCUCUUCAGCGAAGUCCGAAUAACCAGGAAAGAUGCUUACUAUGAAAAUUAUACAAUAGCCUUUAGAAAAUGGUGAAGAUAAAGUAUGCGAGUUAACAGAAAACUGAGAGCAGAGUAUGUUUGGUGGUUACACAACAGGAGUUGAUGUUGAAGAACGGCAUAUAGACAGAAGGAAAGAAUUCAGAGUAUCAGGACUAAAGCACUUUUUCUUUAUUUGCCAUCAGAUGUUUCCUUUAUUUAUUCAACUACAACUUUUUAAAGCAAUUAUUGAAAGGACACAAGCUGAGCCAAGCACCUGUGGCCUCACCAAUUAUCUUUGCCAAUGAAAAUGAUAUGUCUUUUUGCCAAGUAGCUACUUUAAAAACCCUUCAUGACAAGUAGACCACAAGCACUGUAUUCUAUGAUAGGCAAAGAAAAUGAAUCAAGCAUUCUUUAUUUAUUUAUCUAAUAAUGAUUGUUAGCCCUUCCAUUUUUUUCUGAACCAUUUUGACUUUUUCAGAACUGGCAAUUUCUCUGCACAAUAGAUUAAGGUUUAGCAUAAUUCAGAAGAAAAAUUAUAUUAUUAUAGUUAAGAUGAUGCAUCGUAUUUGAACUUUAAGUCAUUGUUUAGAUAAUAGAAACAAUAGAUCUUUUAGGCAAAUGCAUUACACAAAGUAGAAAACAAAGAUGCUUAUUUAAAUGUAAUUAGAUACCCAAGUUAUUUGAAAAGAAAUUUUCAGUGUAUUUCACUCAUGAGAUGGAUGAUACUGAUUUUCAAAAAAUAACUCUCCAUAACGCUGGGUAACUUUUUAACAAAACACUUCAUUCAGGCACUUGAUGCCCUAUGUGCAAGCUGUAUGCUGACGUCUAUUGAAAGAGUUGUCUGGAGGCUUUCUUAGUGUCUGUUUUCAGGUAGCUGAAUAAUGCCUGUCCAAACAUGUUUGAUGUUGCCAAACAAAAUUUGUUUGGUUUCUUGCUCCAGCAUUACCUCAUAAGCCUACAUCCAGCACUGAUGGAAUGGAUGAAUGUGGCACUGAGGGACAUGAUUAGUGGGCAUGGUGGUGGUGGGCUGGUGGUUGGACUAGGUGACCUUAGUAAUCUUUUCCAACUUUAAUGAUUCUAUUAUUUGAUGAUUCUAUGACCGAGUGACAACUUGCAAAUACCCAGCCACAUCAGUCCUUGGAAUGAUAAUAAUCCUUUAGUAUACACAUGCAUGAAAAAAUGCAGCAUUUUUAAAACCUGAUAUUUAUCUACAUAUCUAUCCAUUUUAUGUAAACAUUAAACUUUUUAAAUUGAAGGCAACAACUAUUGAUAAAAAUUUUGAGCUUUUAUUUCUGUUCUGAGUGAACACCUUAUACCUAAAAUUCAGUCCAUCAAAACCAUUUCCUUCUUUCAUUUCACUAAGGCAGUGUGAAGCAGCAUUACUGAAAAUAAACAAAUGCAUGAAAAAUAAUUACUCUAUGAUAUUUUUGUUGCUGUUGCUCUCUAUUAGACAUUCUUCAACCUAUUUUAAUAUUGAUAAUACCAGCAAUAUUGUUUCUGCUGUGUCUUGAGGCACAAGGUUGAAGAAGAAAAUACAAGACUAUUUUCCAAAUAAAGCAGAGGAAAUUUCUCCUUUUGUAAUGUGGUGCAUAUUGUUGAAUGUCAUUUGGGUAUAUGACUUAAAAUGAUUAUGUAGCUUUAAAGUAUACUAAGUGAAGAACCACAAAACAUCAAAAGGUGACUUACAAAGUGUAUGUGUAUAUAUACAAAUAACAGAUGAGAAUACAAAUACAUUGUAAAUGUAAAAUGUUUUUACAUUUAAAACUAGAAAUUUUCUUCAAAGAAUAUAAAAAAUGUGACUAACCCAUGAAAAAAGGUAUAUCUUACCUAAUUUGAGAAGCUGAAUUUCAAAAUUUUUGUAGUAUAUCUAUCUGGGAAAGCUCAUUGUGAAUAUACUUUCAAGGCAUGACUAACACAAUAUUGGAAAAUGAUAUUGUUUCUAAGAUAAAGGUGUUGGUUUUUUUUUUUUUUCUGU